GAGUUUGAUCCUGGCUCAGGACGAACGCUGGCGGCGUGCCUAACACAUGCAAGUCGAACGGAGAUUUCAGCAAUGAAGUCUUAGUGGCGAACGGGUGAGUAACGCGUAGACAACCUACCUUCUAGAUGGGGACAACACUGCGAAAGUGGUGCUAAUACCGAAUGUUGUGUAGAAAAUACAUAUUUUCUAUCCUAAAGGUGGCCUCUAUUCAUAAGCUACCACUAGAAGAUGGGUCUGCGUCUGAUUAGCUAGUUGGUGAGGUAACGGCUCACCAAGGCUUCGAUGUCUAGGGGUUCUGAGAGGAAGAUCCCCCACACUGGUACUGAGACAC
rnacentral:rRNA from 1 species